GCCUUCGUGGUUUAGAGGUCAGAACGCUCGGCGCGUAUUUGAGAGGUCCGUGGUUCGAGUCCCUGCCAGGGCA
rfam:Stegodyphus mimosarum contig109478, whole genome shotgun sequence.